rnacentral:rRNA from 1 species
AUACAACUUUCAGCAACGGAUCUCUUGGCUCUCCCAUCGAUGAAGAACGCAGCGAAAUGCGAUAAGUAAUGUGAAUUGCAGAAUUCAGUGAAUCAUCGAAUCUUUGAACGCACCUUGCGCCCUUUGGUAUUCCGAAGGGCAUGCCUGUUUGAGUGUCAUUAAA